GUCUGCAGCUGCUGACUAUACAGCAAGGAUUCUGUAGAUGUAGCUCUUUACUUCUUCAUGACAUCUCUCUUCGUCUUACAGAUACGAAUGGAGUGUAAAAAGACAAUAAAGCAAACAGAAAGCUGCUGGAGCAACAGAUGAGCAAAAACCACGAGGACAGAGAGAAAUGGAGGUCAGAAGUAAGACACAAACCUGUGAAUCACAAGAGAAAAGCAGACAGAUAUCUGCUAGAUGUGAGAGUAUGGAGACACUAAAGCCGUACUUGUAAUGUGAUCCAGACGGACCUGUGACGUUUGAUUCUGAUGUUACAAGUGAGGUGAGAUUCUCAACAUCGAACCCUUCAUCACUGACGUCCAUCAUCAUCAUCAUCAGACUACCGUUGACCUCCAGCCUUCUGGAAGCUUUAACAGACUCGUCCGAGCACAAACACACUCAGCAAGAGCAUCUUUCCCAGAGAACCUGCUGAUGCUGCACUUUACUGUCAAUCAUACUGUGAACAUUUGAGCUGCAUCAGACAGAGACUUGUUUUUGUUUAACCAAAUAUUGGUUUCAAUUGGCACUGCCUCAUAUUUCAUGCAUUUCCGUUUACUAUGCACGUUGAUUUAUUUCAUAGAUUCUAUCCACCUAAUUUCUAACAGAAUGGCCGUUUGUGAGCUGAAUGCAUCUGGCUUCCGGUCUCAUGCACGCCCAGUUAUUUUUAGCUGCACAAAACAGCUUGUUAUGCUGUUUGAUGUUGCAAAACCUCGUAUUUACCAUGUUAUUUUAACGAAUCGUCAUUAUAAAUACACUGGUCUGUAGUGCAAAUGGUUAUACCA